AGAAGGUCCCAAGGGUUGGGCUGUUCGCCCAUUAAAGCGGCACGCGAGCUGGGUUUAGAACGUCGUGAGACAGUUCGGUCCCUAUCCUCUAUGGUCGUAGGAAAUUUGAGGGAAUCUGCUUCUAGUACGAGAGGACCGAAGUGGACGAACCUCUAGUGUGCCUGUUGUUGCAUCAGCAGCAUUGCAGGGUAGCUACGUUCGGCAGGGAUAAGCGCUGAAAGCAUAUAAGCGCGAAACCCAUCCCAAGAUAAGAUUUCCCUUCCCACCUCGGUGGGACUGAAGACUUCCAGUAGAAUACUGGUUUGAUAGGUCACAGAUGUAAGUGCAGUAAUGUACUCAGUCGAGUGAUACUAAUUAGUCGUGAGACUUAAUCAA
rnacentral:rRNA from 1 species